GCACAAGAGAGCUGAUGAGACUGGCUGGCUCUGUUUCUGAUGAGCUAGCAGGAAGACCUGACGGUAGGUUUUUGCUAACUGUCCCUGGGGAUUAGAGGGAGCAGCAAGAAAGAAACCCAGCCAUAGCCUGCAGAAGGAGGGAUCUUGGCGGAGCUGUUUCAUACCAAUAUGAAUACAGUUCCUUUUUAAGCAUUUUUAGUUGUAAUGCCAAAGUCCAGCAAUUGCAAAUUUUAUUUAGUUUAUCUGAAAAAUAAUCAGACUGUGUUUUUUUUUAGAAAAAAAAAAUGUUAAGGGCUAUGUCAUCAGUUUGUUUAUACUUUAGUCAAAGCCAGUUCACCUUUUAAGAGAGAAACUAACUGCUAAAGCCAGCAGAUUGUGGAAUUCCUUCCUCUUUCCUGACGCCAUGAGAUCCAGUUUAUUAAAGGUAUUUUUGGUGGCAAACAGUAAGUAAAACAGAGUAUUUAUUAAGCUUGUACCCUACCCUGAUGAUUUUU